rnacentral:tRNA from 1 species
GCCUGGCUGGCUCAGUUGGUAGAGCAUGUGACUCUUGAUCUUGGGGUUGUGAGUUCAAGUCCCACAUUGGGCA